rnacentral:rRNA from 1 species
UUUGUCUCAAAGAUUAAGCCAUGCAUGUCUAAGUAUAAGCAAUCUAUACAGUGAAACUGCGAAUGGCUCAUUAAAUCAGUUAUCGUUUAUUUGAUAAUACUUUACUACUUGGAUAACCGUGGUAAUUCUAGAGCUAAUACAUGCUAAAAAUCCCUACCUCUGGCGGGGAUGUAUUUAUUAGAUAAAAAACCAAUGUCUUCGGACUCUUUGGUGAUUCAUAAUAACUUUUCGAAUCGCAUGGCCUUGCGCUGGCGAUGGUUCAUUCAAAUUUCUGCCCUAUCAACUUUCGAUGGUAAGAUAGUGGCUUACCAUGGUUUCAACGGGUAACCGGGGAAUAA